GAGUUUGAUCAUGGCUCAGAUUGAACGCUGGCGGCAGGCCUAACACAUGCAAGUCGAGCGGGUGACGGGAGCUUGCUCCUUGAUUCAGCGGCGGACGGGUGAGUAAUGCCUAGGAAUCUGCCUGGUAGUGGGGGACAACGUUUCGAAAGGAACGCUAAUACCGCAUACGUCCUACGGGAGAAAGCAGGGGACCUUCGGGCCUUGCGCUAUCAGAUGAGCCUAGGUCGGAUUAGCUAGUUGGUGGGGUAAUGGCUCACCAAGGCGACGAUCCGUAACUGGUCUGAGAGGAUGAUCAGUCACACUGGAACUGAGACACGGUCCAGACUCCUACGGGAGGCAGCAGUGGGGAAUAUUGGACAAUGGGCGAAAGCCUGAUCCAGCCAUGCCGCGUGUGUGAAGAAGGUCUUCGGAUUGUAAAGCACUUUAAGUUGGGAGGAAGGGCAGUAAGUUAAUACCUUGCUGUUUUGACGUUUACCGACAGAAUAAGCACGGCUAACUCUGUGCCAGCAG
rnacentral:rRNA from 1 species